rnacentral:lncRNA from 1 species
UCAGUUCAACAAUAUCCCUUCAUUUAUCCAUCCAAUUAGCUAAACAAGUCACCAGAUUUACUACACGAUAUCCCUUCACUUCCCAAAAUUCUUCUUUAUCUCCCUUCAUUUCCACAAACUCAGUUCAACAAUAUCCAUCCAAUUAGCUAAACAAGUUACCAGAUUUGCUAACGAAGUUCGCAACAGUGCUCUGAACUCAAAUAUCAAAACCGAGAAAUUCAUCGGACUCCACCGACAAGCUGCACGUGCUGACGAGUCUUAUUCUAGAAGCUGUGUACCGGAGGAUGUCGUGUCACAUCUUGAGUAUUCAUCCGAAGUCCGAUUUCGAGUACCGAUUUGCAACCCUAGAUCCAGUCAUUGACCACCACAACCUCACCACUGGCAGUUGCAGUGACGUCAUCUAAUGUUUGAUGGAUUCAAAGUUUCAAAGAUCAAAUCUUUUUGACAGUUGGAAGAAAGAGAUGUAGCUGCAGUUAUUGAGCUUACAAAAUUUGCCGCACAUUAACAAAGAGAUACAAGGUUUUAUUCUUAUCCAAUGAGUUUCUGGUCAGAUUUCAAUUUAUUUAAACAUUAAACCCCUUCAUUGGCUCUGUUCAUUGUUGUUGUUUUUAUGUGCUUUUGAAUUUUGAUACAAGGUGUUGCAGGUUUUGUUUAAAAACAUACAAAUUUUUUAUUUUGGUCCAAAACUUGAACCUAUUUACACAAAUAGUUCAUUUAAUGAAAGCUUUAAAUAAAAUAAAAAUGAAAUGACCAUUUUGCCCCUGAGAAAAAGGACAAAAUAGCAGGAUUUUAUAAAAUAAAUAUGACCUGAUUUCACUUUUGGACCAAAAUGGCAAUAAAACUGAAACCACAGGGACCCAGAUGCAAAAGGUUUGAGUUUUGGACAAAAGUGACAAAAGUGACCAAACCUCAGGGACCAAAAUGGCAUUUUACUAUAAAAUAAAAUAGUUUAAAUUACAAAAAGUUGUCAUCCAUAUAUGUGAUUAUAUAUAAAAUCGAUAUAUGAGUUUUUCUAACAUAUAAAUAAAAACUAAAAAAGUUCAACUAACUGGAGGACUAUCUUGCAAAAAGACUAAAAUUUUAUUGAACUUUGUUUUAAAAUUAUAGACGAAGAGAACUUAACGUUUCGAAGUUUUAUAGAUGAGAUAAUAUUAAGGUUUGUAGCUACACUGAUUUGUAAUCAAUAAAUGUGUUUUCAAUUUAGUAGAGCUAAGAAAUAUAUUAAUUCCAAUUUAUACCCAUUUGUGAUAUUGUCAAUUAACCUUUAAUGAUGAAAAGAUUUUAUUAAUCAUAUACAAGCCUUUAACUUAUAUCAUAACUUUACAAUAACUAUUUAUUACUUAAACCGCAUAACAAUUAUUAGUAAGAAUAACAAAUCUAAUUUAUCUCAUACCAAUAGAAUUGGUUUUUUACCGAUAAAGAGAAAAAGAACAACUUAAAUAAUGAAUUUUGUAAACUGAAUUGAGGUCUAAGAGAUUAUUUUAAAUAAAAGUUAUAUUUAAAAGAUAUACAAUGACAAAAUUAUUAUUAUUUUUAUACACUGUUAUAUGUAACGUAACACGUAAUUUCGUCCAUAUUAAUAAUAUAUAAAUUUGUAUAUUACAUGUUUUUCAGUAUUCAACCUGUGUAAUACACGGCGUUUAUGGUAUUUUCAGUGUUACUAACUAAGAUGAGCCGGUUCAUAUGGUAAUAAAAAUUGUUUAUAUAACGUUUUGUUACUAAUUAACAUAGGCCAUUAGUUAUAUAAUUUUUUUUAAGAUUAUAUAAUUAUAUCAUUUAUAUUGUAGAAACUCGGGUAAUAGACGGGUCUAUAACCUAGUUAGAAUAAUAGAAUAACAUAUUGUAAUAGCUAACCGAUGAUUUGUGAAGCUCUCCUAGCAUUCUUGAUAGCAAAUUGUUUGAUCACCUAUUCGCAGUUUAUAUUCUCUA